AUAACGCAGUAAAUAAAACCAUUAUAAAAUCAUUCAUUUAUUUAAUCAAAUAUAAUAUCAAAACGUUAAGCAAUUAUAUCAAAUAAUUGGCCUCUAGGGCAUAAACUCUAACAACCUUGAGGACUAGAAUCUGACAUUUGUGAUCAUAUUUAAUGACUCUCUUAGACUAACUCAUGUAGUGUAACCAUGGAUAUACUAUGCUUAUAUGUUAUAUUUCAAAUGAAGCACGUACAAAGCAUAUUUUCAACUAAAGCGGUGUUAGUUUCAUGUAUGUGUUAUGAAUACACACAAGAAUGUAUAAUAUGAGUGUUGUAACUAUCUUGUAUAAUUUAGAAAGCAAGCAUGCUAGACUUUGUGGUUUCAUGACCUUGAAUGACCUUAAUUUGUUGAAAUGAUCGAACUUAGAACCAUGUUAUGUAAGAAAGGGCCUAGAUUGAUCUAAGAAGCAUGUGAAAGCCUUUAACAUGUCAAAAUACAUUAGGUAUGAUUGUGCGUUCGAGACCGAACAGAACCCACAAGGCAGCAGUGAAGACUUGGCAGGGUCAGGGGAUGGCGCAGCUGCGCCGGUCCUAGGCUUAGCCAUGGCGCAGCUGCACCAGUCUGGAAUCCCAAAAAAUGAAUUCUGAUCUUUUGGACAGUAACUACGUGAUGCCUAUGAUGCUGAAUGUGAUCUAAAACUUACUAAUAUACAUAUAUAUGUGUGAUGCUUAGUUGAUAAGUCGGUGUUGCAUUGAGAUGAAAAGUCUAUGAGUAGGUUGUCUUAACCUUGAGCAUUCUUGAUUUGCUUGUAACUAAGUAGUUGAUUCAUGAUGACUUAUAAACUGAUUUUGUACCAUAUGUGUGUAUACUUGAAUUGUGUCAAGCUUGAUUAAAAAAUGUGUUAGCUAAUUAACAUCUUGAACAUAUAAUGCGUUAUAAAUAGGAUUCGAAAGUGUUGAUUUAUUAACGUGGAUAAACUACGCUUGAGGCAAGUAUCUGAACCCUACUAUUAUUGUUGUGCAAUACCAUUACAUUAUUUAUUCGAACAAUACCGUAAGCUUAUCCCUUUGAAUACAAGUUAUAUUACUUUCUCGUUCAAAUGAGUUAUUAUGUUAAACCCUUGUGAAGGGUAUUAUUCAUGUUGAAAUUGGUAUUGCCCUUGAAUAUUGUGAAAGAGUUGAUGCCAUUUGAUUCGGCUAGACUAUAUGCAUGUUUAUAAAAAAACUGCCCAAACCAAUUCAUUGGUGCAGAAAUCUUGAAAACUGAGUUGGACAACCCUUUUGGUAAGGAGAGUGUAUGUUGUUGGAAACCCCAACACAUGAAUAAAUAUUAUUGUGGUGUUAUGCAUAACGUGAAGUAUUGUAGACUGAUCAUCUUUAGUACCUGAUAUUUUGGGUUAUCAGUUUAAUAUUGGUAACUCUAGUGGAAGUUCCAUAAUCCUUAGUAACUGCUAAUUAUAAAUUGCUUAUCCAGUUGGAUACAUUGUUAGCUGUUGAAUUCAUAUAUAUCUGUUGAUUUAUAUUGAAUUUUUAUAUCCCUUAUUCAUGAUGUUAUUCUGACACUUUGAACUAUCCUAGAAAUAAACCUUAAAUAUUUCAAACCUUGUGAUAUUAUAUCCUAUACCCUUGUUGUAUAUUACUUGUUGGGAAAUUUGUGCUCAUCCUUGCUUAUUUAAAACCUUUCAGCUAAGGAGGAACAUGGAGGUGUCACUAGAGCAGACACGGGCAAGGGCAAGGCUACCGACUGGCUUAUCCUUUUUAUGUUUAAAGCUAUUAUGUUAUGUUAGGAUUAUUUGCGGACUAUGUUUAAGCUUAAGUAUGAUCAUGUAAUAAGUCUUUAUUAGAUAUUAUUAUGUAAUCUAUUAAGCACUGUAGGUUGCAAGACUUGGGGAAUAAUUAUAAUAAAUCAUUGUAUAUUAUUCUAAAAUAGAUUUUCUGUUGUGUAUGCGUUAUUUUAGUUAUUAUGGUUUUACCAUGAGAACGUGAUGAACCGAAUUCGAGUGACCAAGUGGAGGUCCGAAUUUGGGGGCGUCACAGGUUGGUAUCAAAGCCUUAGUUAUAAACCUUAGGAGCGAGUGUCCUUAGAUUAUAACUUAAGGGAACUUAGAAGUUAGGAAGGAGAUAAAACUCAUGUAGAGUUUUACUUGAGAGGCUUAGUGUGUUAUGAAAUGUAAUUUUAUUCUAUACAAUGAACUUAUAUUUUUUUAACAUUCUAAUGGAGUUGUUGUUUGUGUUGUCUUAUGUUGGUGAUUGUAGGAUGACUGACAUGGGAGGACCUAGCCGAGUAGUAGAGGAGGAGCCACGUGAUAUCCACGUAGUAUUUGAGACACCCUUGAUAGCAGAGCCUAUUUUAGUAGUAGCCCCUUUUGAUAAUGACGAUGAGGAAGAGGUGGAGUCUGACCCUGAGGAGGAGCCCGAGCCUGUAGAGGACUCCAACGAGGCUACUUUUGAGGAUCGGAUGUUAGGAGAGUAUGAGGAGUAGAUAUUGGAGUUGGGAUGUAGAGUAGAGGAGCUUGAGGCUAAGGCUAGGGAGAGGGAGUCUGCGUUCCAGAAGUUGAGGGACGAGGACCAUCAGAGGCAGCUAGUGAUGCAGGAGAUGGAGGUGGAGAUUGCUCACCGUAAGGAAGCAGGGAUCUAGAUGGGAACUUUGUUUCACCGAGCGGUGGCGAGGAAUGUUGAAGUGGCAGGAAAACUAUAGGAAUUAGAGCAGAAAGUGUUGAGUGAGAGGGCGGAGAAGGAGGCUCUCCGAACUCAGUUAGAGAUGGAGGUGAAGGAUAGGAUUCACUUCGAGGAGAAGUGGGAAGAAGUCAAUGAUAGGGCAGAUGACCUAGAGGAUGAGGUGCGGUGCAAGAGGAGGAAGAUGAACAAGAUGAGCUAUGCUCUUCGCACGGCCAUGGAGAGAUUGAUAGAUGGGGUACAUCAUUACCCAGCUGAGCAAGGACAGACCCAACAUACCAUAAGUCGGGACAUGGUGGUGCAUAUCACAUAGAAGGAAUAUCAGAGCGCCAUUGAGCAUGGGAUGUUAGAUUGAGUCUAGAGGGAAAAAUUCAGUAGUGUAGUAUUUUUAUUUAUGUGUUAUUUAUAUGUUGUUGUAAUCUCAAUCUUUUGUGUAAGAUGUGAGAUAGUGGUGAAACCCCCAAACUUCUGAAAAGUGCUAGAGGGGUAGUAAGUUAGUAUGUCCCUGUCUUUUGUGAUAGUAGGGAUAUGUGUAUCAUUUAUAGCAGUAUGCUAGAAAAGAACAAGUAAUGUAACCCUUUGGCAUAUGAAUAUAAAUGAUCUUAUUUCAGAAACGUGUUAUAAACUUGUAGUUCAUUCUAUUGAGAAAUGUCUAAGUAUUAUAACUAGAUAAUAAAAUGAAAAAUUUGUGAUGCAG
rnacentral:lncRNA from 1 species